rnacentral:lncRNA from 1 species
AUGCCUCAUACUGGGUGCAUGGCAUCCUCCUUGGAGACCAUUUCAUGCCCUCAAUCAGAACAAGCUCCAGCAGAUGGAGAGAGAGAGAAACAAGGCAAGAAGGAACUUAACUCCUCGCUCCCUUCCCUCCAGCCAGGCUGCACUUCUGUCUUGCACUGUGCACAGAGGGAGCGAGAGCGAGGGAGAGGAGAGAGAGAGAAAGAGGAAAAAGAGAGCGAGCGAGCCAGGAGACGCGGAGGCGAGAAGCAUGAAGCGUUAACUCCCCCGUGCCAAGGCCCGCACCGCCCGGACAGCGCCCGCCGCGCCUGCAGCCCCGAGCGGCCGCCGCGCGCGCCCCGGCGAGCCGAGCCCUCCUUAUGCAAAGCGCGCAGCGGAGCGGCGAGCGGGGGACGCCGCGCACCGGGCCGGGCUCCUCCGGCUUCGCCGCCGCCGCCGCCGCAGCUCGCCGAGGACCUCCCCCAGCCUGAAGCCGCCGGCCCGGCGCGCACGGAGGCGAGCAGGCGAGGAGGGGCUGGGGCGAGCGAGCGAGCGAGCGAGUCCCUUGGCGUGAGCAGGCGGGGAGGGAGGGCGGGCGCGGGGGGCGCGGGCAGGGCGGGGGGGCGUGUGCGCGCUCGGAGGUUCCGGGCCAGCCGCCGGCGCGCGAGCUAGAAGCGCCCCAGCCCGGCAAGCUGGCUCACCCGCUCGCCGCCCAGCACAGCCCGCUGGCCCCUCUCCUGCAGCCCAUCUGGCGGAGCGGCGGCGGCGGCGGCGGCGGCAGGAGGAUGGCAACGGAACUGGCGAUGAGCAACUCCGACCUGCCCACCAGUCCCCUGGCCAUGGAAUAUGUUAAUGACUUCGAUCUGAUGAAGUUUGAAGUGAAAAAGGAGCCGGUGGAGACCGACCGCAUCAUACAGCCAGUGCGGCCGUCUCAUCGCCGGGGGGCUCGCUGUCCCUCCACCCCCAUGAGCACGCCGUGCAGCUCGGGUGCCGCCUUCCCCCAGCUUCUUCGGCGCCCUAGCCCGGGAUCGGGCUGCGAGCAGGAUGGCGCACCUGGGAGACUACUACUGGGAUGACCGGUUAC